rnacentral:rRNA from 1 species
UACGUAGGGUGCAAGCGUUAAUCGGAAUUACUGGGCGUAAAGCGUGCGCAGGCGGUUGUGUAAGUCAGAUGUGAAAUCCCCGGGCUUAACCUGGGAAUUGCAUUUGAGACUGCAUGGCUAGAGUGUGUCAGAGGGGGGUAGAAUUCCACGUGUAGCAGUGAAAUGCGUAGAGAUGUGGAGGAAUACCGAUGGCGAAGGCAGCCCCCUGGGAUAACACUGACGCUCAUGCACGAAAGCGUGGGGAGCAAACAGG